UAGAAUUUGGCGUAACUGGGAGCACGAAGAGUUUUGGGUUCUUAGGAGUAGGUUCAAUUCCUAUAGUUCUCG
rnacentral:tRNA from 1 species